ACAUGACACUUCCGCAAGCACUAGAGAAAUGGCAGGCAUUGGAGGACCGCAGCCAUGUGGAUGGAGCCACGACCUCAUUCCUCGCUAGCUUGGACAACACCCGCACCAGCAUUCCGACAGGGCCACCAGGCUUUGCGGAUGCUUUCACUUCGGCUGAUGGAAGAUGAGAGAGAAAUGAGUUGUACAAGAAACUCAAGUUUCAACCAAAGGUUUGUCCAUUCACUUUGUUUCUUCUUUGGCUAUGAUUUGUUCCUUU
rnacentral:lncRNA from 1 species